rnacentral:rRNA from 1 species
AACGAACGCUGGCGGCAGGCUUAACACAUGCAAGUCGAGCGAGGUUUUCGGACCUAGCGGCGGACGGGUGAGUAACGCGUGGGAACGUGCCCUUUGCUACGGAAUAGCCUCUGGAAACGGAGAGUAAUACCGUAUGUGCCCGGUAACGGGGAAAGAUUUAUCGGCAAAGGAUCGGCCCGCGUUGGAUUAGGUAGUUGGUGGGGUAAUGGCCUACCAAGCCGACGAUCCAUAGCUGGUUUGAGAGGAUGAUCAACCACACUGGGACUGAGACACGGACCAGACUCCUACGGGAGGCAGCAGUGGGGAAUCUUAGACGAUGGGGGCAACCCUGAUCUAGCCAUGCCGCGUGAGUGAUGAAGGCCUUAGGGUUGUAAAGCUCUUUCAGCUGGGAAGAUAAUGACGGUACCAGCAGAAGAAGCCCCGGCUAACUCCGUGCCAGCCGCCGCCGUAA